UGAGUAACACGUAUCCAACCUGCCGUCUACUCUUGGACAGCCUUCUGAAAGGAAGAUUAAUACAAGAUGGCAUCAUGAGUCCGCAUGUUCACAUGAUUAAAGGUAUUUUCCGGUAGACGAUGGGGAUGCGUUCCAUUAGAUAGUAGGCGGGGUAACGGCCCACCUAGCCAACGAUGGAUAGGGGUUCUGAGAGGAAGGUCCCCCACAUUGGAACUGAGACACGGUCCAA
rnacentral:rRNA from 1 species